GACGAACGCUGGCGGCGUGCCUAAUACAUGCAAGUAGAACGCUGAAGAGAGGAGCUUGCUCUUCUUGGAAGAGUAGCGAACGGGUGAGUAACGCGUAGGUAACCUGCCUUGGAGCGGGGGAUAACUAUUGGAAACGAUAGCUAAUACCGCAUAACAAUGGAUGACACAUGUCAUUUAUUUGAAAGGGGCAACUGCUCCACUACAAGAUGGACCUGCGUUGUAUUAGCUAGUAGGUGAGGUAACGGCUCACCUAGGCGACGAUACAUAGCCGACCUGAGAUGGGGAUCGGGCACACUGGGACUGAGACACGGCCCAGACUCCUACGGGAGGCAGCAGUAGGGAAUCUUCGGCAAUGGGGGCAACCCUGACCGAGCAACGCCGCGUGAGUGAAGAAGGUUUUCGGAUCGUAAAGCUCUGUUGUAAGUCAAGAACGAGUGUGAGAGUGGAAAGUUCACACUGUGACGGUAGCUUACCAGAAAGGGACGGCUAACUACGUGCCAGCAGCCGCGGUAA
rnacentral:rRNA from 1 species